ACUCCCCAGCAUUUAGAGAUCCCGAGACCUCACCAUCUCUGACAACCACCAUGUUUGCUGUGAAAGCAGUUUGCCUCCUCGUCACUGUUGCUAUGCUUGUUGCAAUGGUGGCUGCGGGCAAACCGAAUGAGAGAGUCUGUGUAAAAGGCUUUGACAUUUGUUAUGACCAGUAAAGGAGUCACACAUGCACACCAGAGUGUCUUCUUCCAGGCUCACCUAAAUGAAGUAAUACCACCCCAGGAAGAGAGGGGGCGCUCCUGCUGCCAGUCUUAUUUCCUUCUUCCCUCACAGCCACGAGUAACCAUCCCUUGAAGGCACUGAAACAAAAGAAGCCCCUUCUGGUCUGAAAUAAAAGGAGACCAUCCACGGAGGAUGGCAUCUCAUUUUAGAUGUUGACAAGGCUUAUGCUCAACCAUGAGCCAGAAAUGCAUCCAUCUAAAACGGUUGAUUGAAAUGACUAUUUAUUGACAAGAAAACACAUGUUGAAGUGCUUGAGUUUUGUUCCAUUGCUUGCUUUUUAAUGAAAUUAAACAGUUUUUAUUACCAACUUAGCACAAAA